CCUGGGCGGGCCGGGGAGGUCCUUGGUUCACAGGCAGGUCACGCAUCGGGCCAAUAGGCGGCCCGCGGUGCUGGUGGAAGGGGCGCGACACGCGAAAACCACACUCACUCACUACCACAAUGAGGGCGUUUUUCCUCUACCACACACCACCAGCACCACCCACCCACACUUCGCGAUGUGUUUCCAUCGUUACCGCGUGCGUGCACGAUUCGCGCACGUCGCCCAACGAGGAGACGCGUAGUUGUUACUUCGAUAUCGGAUGCUGAGCAUCAUAACAAUAAUAUCAAAAAAUACCGGUGAAAAAAACCUCAGUGAACCCUUUUUUUGUUGUUAUAUUAUAUUUGGGGCACGUGUGCAUCAGCAUCCCUCUCAUCCUCUUGAAUCUGCGUUACCUGAUUAUAUUCUCUACCCUUUUGCAUCCCUCUGUGCGCGUGCACGGCACACGCACACGCAUCAGGUGUUUCGGUGCUUCGGCUCUUUGCGUUAUUGAGUUAGGACGGUACAAGUGCGGCAAUAACACUUCCGGGAUUGUGUUGGUGCGGUGUGCAGUGUGGUAGAUAAACGUGCGCGGCAAUUAGCGGUACAACGGGUGCAUAAUUUCAUGUUGCAAUAAAACUACAUGCGACUAACAAGGCGAUAAACGUGUUGUAUAAUUUUAUACAAGGGUAGAAAUAAUUAUGUUGUAAUUAGUAUAUUUAAUUAAAAAUAAUGCGGUUGAAAAAUUUUGAAAUAAUUUUUUUGUUUGAGUUAUGGGGAUUUUUAAAAAAUACCGGUAUUUUUUGUUGGAAAAACCGGCAUCCGAGCGUGAACAACAUGCGCUCGAGUUAAUUAACUACCCGAAGUGCUCACUAGCGCCUGGCCCACCUAAUUCGGAACGAGAGGCGCAUCAUUCUUAUUUCCUCGCCGCGUGGAUUUUCAUUACUUUGUGUCGUCGAUACGCCCUGCGCGACGCACACCUUCUCCUCGGGGAGCUUAUCUCUGCUUUUGUGAUGCGGCGUUUUCAUCAAGACGUCGGCGGAGUGUGUCUGUCUAUCUUCUUAUACUGUCGUACUUCUUAUAGGUACCUAUAUAGCUACCUACGCAGGAUCGGAUAAUACUGUCGUCGUUGGAGGAGUUUGAAAGUUUGCUAACAAUGUGCACGAAAAUCUUCACAAUGCUUUUCUUUCUUACAUAAUAGGUAAUAAUAGAAUAAGUAUGGAACAUUGGGUAGGGAAAUGUGAAGUUUAAUCUUCAUUUCCUAAUUAACUUUUGUAUAUUGUGUAAUAAUCUGAGUAAAAUAUAUUAAAUUAAUUUUUGGUAAAUUAUUUUGUGGAAAAACAACGUUUUUUGCAUUUUUUGGUAAAAUUUGAUCGUUUUUUGCGUUUUUCUUCAAUUUUUCUUGGGAUUUUAAGGAAUAUUUUGAUACAAAUCUUUAACAAUCAUGUUUUGCUAUAUAUUUAUUGCUAUGUUGUAUAAUAAUCUGAGUAAAAUACAGUAAAAUGAAUUUUUGGUGAA